rnacentral:rRNA from 1 species
UACGGAGGGUGCAAGCGUUGUCCGGAAUCACUGGGCGUAAAGGGCGCGUAGGCGGCCUGGUAAGUAGGGGGGUGAAAUCCUGCGGCUUAACCGCAGGGCUGCCUUCUAAACUGUCAGGCUUGAGCACGGUAGAGGCAGAUGGAAUUCCCGGUGUAGCGGUGGAAUGCGUAGAGAUCGGGGAAGAACAUCAGUGGCGAAGGCGGUCUGCUGGGCCGUUGCUGACGCUGAGGCGCGACAGCGUGGGGAGCAAACAGG